ACUUUUGCGAAGUAAAUUGUAAUAUCGUUAUAACAUUUGAUAUUUGUGUUUACGUUACAGCAAUGCACAAGCUUCCUUGUGGGCCUCAGUGUCGCGGUGGUCCCUGUCUCCCCCACUGUUACUUUCGGGACCUGCCGCGCGAACCACCUCACAUGCAGCAAUGGCAGCCACCACCAUACAGUCAACCACCAGGUGGCAGCUACCCUCCUCAGUAUUAUCCACAUCCACACCCGCAACCGUAUCCGCCAAUGUAUCCGCCACCACACUACCCACCUCAAUACCCACCCCCUCCCCAUUACCCCCCAAAUAAUGAUCACAUGCUGAGAUAGACUACAUUCAAGACUGGAAUUUUGUUUUUUGGCCUGAUUAUGUAAUUAUUUAUUAACAAAGGAAGCGUGCGGGUCGUUAUAUGAUAUCUUUGUGCAAUAUUAUAUUUUUACCUUUUUUAUGUUGGUAUAAUAAAAUAUAAAAUCGA